UCUGUCCCUGUAACGGAAAUAAUUCCCAUUCUAUUCCAAAAAAACAGCCCAGAAGCCAUGGGAUCCCAGGAACAGGCUUCUCCCUCUAGUGGCAGCAGAAAGGGAGAUGCAGAACUCUUGGACCAGGAGCCCUUCUCUCCAAACCUGGUGGGUGAAGGUGGUUUGUAAGUACUGUCCUCAACACAGAGCAUGUGGCUGGAGAUGUCACCUCUCUUCAAAGGCUUGCUUCUACCUCUUGAAAGAUGAAUUUGUGUGGAAAAAGCACACGUUGGCUCUGAAAUUCUGAUUUGUCUGCAGACCUGUGUGACCCCUGUCAUUUGAGAGAGACUUCCCAAAGAAAGAAGGGGUUGGGCUGGACCAGC